ACGCUGGCGGCGUGCUUAACACAUGCAAGUCGAACGGUAAGGCCCUUCGGGGUACACGAGUGGCGAACGGGUGAGUAACACGUGGGUGAUCUGCCCUGCACUUCGGGAUAAGCCUGGGAAACUGGGUCUAAUACCGGAUAGGACUCCUGGCUUCAUGGUUGGGGGUGUAAAGCUUUUGCGGUGUGGGAUGGGCCCGCGGCCUAUCAGCUUGUUGGUGGGGUAAUGGCCUACCAAGGCGACGACGGGUAGCCGGCCUGAGAGGGUGACCGGCCACACUGGGACUGAGAUACGGCCCAGACUCCUACGGGAGGCAGCAGUGGGGAAUAUUGCACAAUGGGUGCAAGCCUGAUGCAGCGACGCCGCGUGAGGGAUGACGGCCUUCGGGUUGUAAACCUCUUUCAAUAGGGACGAAGCGCAAGUGACGGUACCUAUAGAAGAAGGACCGGCCAACUACGUG
rnacentral:rRNA from 1 species